rnacentral:rRNA from 1 species
CCUACGGGUGGCAGCAGUGAGGAAUAUUGGUCAAUGGGCGCGAGCCUGAACCAGCCAAGUAGCGUGAAGGAUGACUGCCCUACGGGUUGUAAACUUCUUUUAUAAAGGAAUAAAGUGAGGCACGUGCGCCUUUUUGUAUGUACUUUAUGAAUAAGGAUCGGCUAACUCCGUGCCAGCAGCCGCGGUAAUAUGGAGGAUCCGAGCGUUAUCCGGAUUUAUUGGGUGUAAAGGGAGCGUAGAUGGGUUGUUAAGUCAGUUGUGAAAGUUUGCGGCUCAACCGUAAAAUUGCAAUUGAUACUGGCAGUCUUGAGUACAGUUGAGGUAGGCGGAAUUCGUGGUGUAGCGGUGAAAUGCGUAGAUAUCACGAAGAACACCGAUGGCGGAGGCAGCUUACUAGACUGCCACUGACAUUGAUGCUCGAAAGCGUGGGGAGCAAACAGGAUUAGAUACCCGUGUAGUC